rnacentral:rRNA from 1 species
UCCUCCCUCUGUCGGCGUGCUUAACACAUGCAAGUCGAACGGAAAGGCCCUGCUUUUGUGGGGUGCUCGAGUGGCGAACGGGUGAGUAACACGUGAGUAACCUGCCCUUGACUUUGGGAUAACUUCAGGAAACUGGGGCUAAUACCGGAUAGGAGCUCCUGCUGCAUGGUGGGGGGUGGAAAGUUUCGGCGGUUGGGGAUGGACUCGCGGCUUAUCAGCUUGUUGGUGGGGUAGUGGCUUACCAAGGCUUUGACGGGUAGCCGGCCUGAGAGGGUGACCGGCCACUUUGGGACUGAGGUACGGCCCAGACUCCUACGGGAGGCAGCAGUGGGGAAUAUUGCACAGUGGGCGGAAGCCUGAUGCAGCGGCGCCGCGUGCGGGAUGACGGCCUUCGGGUUGUAAACCGCUUUCGCCUGUGACGAAGCGUGAGUGACGGUAAUGGGUAAAGAAGCACCGGCUAACUACGUG